UCCUUCUUAGCUCAGUUGGUAGAGCGCGUCACUAGUACCAUUGAUUGUGUGUUAUGACGAGGUCAGUCGUUCGAGUCGGCUAGAAGGAA